UUCAAAUGCGAGAAAAUUAUCGUAUUAAUUUGUUGUUAUUAUUACUCAGUCGCAUGUUCCGUUAAAAUAUCUGAUAAUUGAAGAUACAUAAUCGUACGAAGUCUGGUCUCUGAAUCUGCAUAGAUCACUCACGCUCUUAACAUGCCUUAGAUUUAUAACGAGAACGAAAUCAACUAGCUGUCCAAAGAAAUUUACGCAAUUUCGGGUCAGUGCUAUUAAUGACUACUUGCCUAUUUUCACUGGCUUAAAAUACGGGAAUAAUCGAACCAGAAUUGUAACCAAAAUAACGGAAAUUGAGUUAACUACUGAAACGGUGAGAUUUAACGAAAGUGCUGCAACAGGGAGUCGCGAUCGCGAGCUAUCUCACCAAUGUGGGAGAGAGGUAGAGAGAGAGAGAGAGAGAAGACUCUUCUUCAGGAGAACUAUGCGCAUCUACUGUUCACCGGAGAAGUCCAGACUUUAGUACGCACCGCGCAACGCAAUGCAUAUCCCUUGAAUCUUACAGCGAUUAUUAUUACGUACAGAUCGUGAUGCGGGCAAAUCUUGUCAGCAGUAACUCUCAUCGUGUGGCUCCGUUUUCUUUUAUAAAACGAAUAUCAAAUGACGUUUCACUGUGUUAAAAAAUACUCUCAUUUUAUACAUAAGACAUAUCUUUUUGAAAAAGAAUUGAUACGCUGAAAGAAUGAUAUUUAUUUUAAGAUGAAAACGAAUCAUAGAUAUAUAUUGGAUUUUUGACAAACACCACUGUUAUAUGAGAUACUUCUGGCCAGUCCGUAGCCUCGAGAAUGAUCACGCGACUUCUUUUGACGUCAUUUAUUGUUUUCCAACCAAUUCUUCCUGGUUUGAUAUAGAAAAAUAUGAGACCAUUGAAACGGAGGUGUCCCCUAUUCUUUGUCGUACUUAUUGCAAAUAGUUGCUUACCAAAUGUGAGAAUCUGUAGUCUUCCGUAAAAAUGAUAAGUUUGACCGAAUCCCCGCUUAUUUUAUCACUUGCUUCGGUAACCAAUAAGAAACAUUCGCAACUAAAAAUGUAGCAAAUAGGAGUAUGUGAUUCUGCAGAAGGUGCCAGUUAUGACGUGUCUCUUAUAGAUACGUAGAUACAUUAAAUAUAUUUUAAAGGAGGAAAAGAUUCUUUUCUUUAAAAAGCUAGUUAUUAUAUUGUGUGCUGUGUGGGAAGGUAGAGUUCUAAAAAACAGACUAGAUUAUUAUGCUAGGGAUCACUAGCGUUCAGAUUUUGUUCCUUUGUUAAAUUCUUUACCUUGAAUAAGACUUCUUAUUUGUAAAUAGACAG
rnacentral:misc_RNA from 1 species